GUGGGGAAUAUUGGACAAUGGGGGGAACCCUGAUCCAGCCAUGCCGCGUGUGUGAAGAAGGCCUUUUGGUUGUAAAGCACUUUAAGCGAGGAGGAGGCUACCGAGAUUAAUACUCUUGGAUAGUGGACGUUACUCGCAGAAUAAGCACCGGCUAACUCUGUGCCAGCAGCCGCGGUAAUACAGAGGGUGCAAGCGUUAAUCGGAUUUACUGGGCGUAAAGCGCGCGUAGGUGGCCAAUUAAGUCAAAUGUGAAAUCCCCGAGCGUAACUUGGGAAUUGCAUUCGAUACUGGUUGGCUAGAGUAUGGGAGAGGAUGGUAGAAUUCCAGGUGUAGCGGUGAAAUGCGUAGAGAUCUGGAGGAAUACCGAUGGCGAAGGCAGCCAUCUGGCCUAAUACUGACACUGAGGUGCGAAAGCAUGGGGAGCAAACAGGAUUAGAUACCCUUGUAGUCC
rnacentral:rRNA from 1 species